rnacentral:lncRNA from 1 species
GUGUGUUGGCAUCGCUUUGAGGAGGAUUUUGUACCUGACAAGAGACUGGUGGCAGCUGCAAAUUGGUCAUACUCCGUAGAUACCAAUUUCGUAGACAUCGAUGCAUUGAAUUCCGGUAAUGACUUGAAGCUGUCCGCGAGGACAUAGAUCUGCCACACUGCCAAACGCCCGUCGUCUCAUUGGUCCCUGUCCGCUCAUAGUGGUGAUGUGCUCCCUCUAGCUACCUCUGCUCCCCAGUCCCCAUUGGCCGCUCCAGAACCCACCGACACGUGAUUCAGGAAGCAAUACCACGGGGUGGCCCAACCAGUACGGCGAGCAGUCGGACCGUUAUUUAUUUCUCGUCUGUUUGCACUAGGAAUGGAUUGGAUAUCUGGAAAUCCAAAUUAUCCAUACUAGUCCAUCAACCCGUGCUCCCGCACGGACUAAUAUUUUUAGAGCUAUUAUAUUUAAAAAUUAUUUAUAAAUUAAACUCCUAGCUAAUAAUCAAAAUUGAUUACCUACUACUCUCUUAUUUUUUUUCAAUAUGUCAACAUAAUACUUAUAUAGAUAUGUACCUAUCUUUGUUCAGUUGUGAUUGAUUUUUAAUUAAUAAUUACUCUAUGCACUUUUUCAUCCAUAUUCAUACUUUUUCCAUUUUGUAUCGUACCUCCAAUCCUCCAUACAUUAUGUUUAGCAUACAAAUCAAUAUUUUUCAUCGCAUACAUGUAUAAAUGGUCUAAAUGGUGACACUCAUCAUGUGUAUAUACUUUAACUUAGUAUUUUUUUAUUAAUAAUAAUAUAAAUAGGUAAUUUAGAAUCAUAUAUUAUUUUACUUUUUGACAUUUCUGUAUGAUACGCAUGAAGAUAAUUAUAUUAAGAUUUAGAUGUUUAAUUUAGGUUAUUUUAAUAACAACUUACAUGGGUAAUAUAGAUAAAAUUUUAGAAUAACAUUUUAAAUUAUGCUUUAUAAUGAUAUGUAUUAGUAAAUUGGAUGAAGAUUAUGGGGUUACUUUAGAUUAUUUUUAUAAUAGCUGAGCUCAGUAAUUUAGAUAUAGGUUUAGAGCUCAUUUUUGAAUAUUUUCACAAUGAUAGUGGUGGGUAAAUUUUUAGAAAAUAUAAUAGAUCAAUGGCUAUGAUUAUUAGAGUUUACAGGAUUGGUAUUUGAUAUUUUUAUUUUUAUGAGAAUUUGCGGAGCCUCCAAUGGAAAAAAAAUAGGACUACAUUGCUAAAAAAAUAUUACCAUAAGCUACCUCUCGUUUGUUAAAUAUUCAAACACAAUACUUAUAUAGAUAUAUACAUAUUAUCUUCAUCCAAUUGUGAUAGAUUUUAGUUAGUAAUUACUCUAUAAUAUUUUCAUCCACAUUUAUAAUCUCUAACUUUUCACUUUGCAUCGCAGGUAUGCGCUUCAAUUUGUUUAAUGAACCCUAAGUUUGUGAUACAAUUUUAAUAUAGAAAUCUAUAUUCUCAUCACUUCUUCUAUAUCUUUAUAAAUGGUGACACAUCAUGUGUAUAGACCUUAAUUAUUAUAUCAUAUGUCAAUAGUGCAAGAUAUAGACGAUUUAGAAUCAUAUAUUGCUGUAUAUUUUUAAUUAAGAUUAUUUGAUUCAAACAUAGGGUUAUCAUGUUAUUUUUAAUAAUGGCAUGUGUGGGUAAUAUAGAUGCAAAUUUAACGGGUUACUUUAAGUUUUUAAGUAAUAGUGGUGGACAAUUCGAUUGCAAAUUAGGGGGUUAUUUUAAAUAUUGUUUAUAAUGGUAUAAGUGGGUAAUUUUGAUGAAGAUUAGGGGAUUACUUUAGUUUAUUUUACAUAAUGGUAGAGGUGGGUAAUUUAUAUAUAGAUUUAGAGGUUACUUUAGGCUAUUUUCAUAAUGGCAUAGGUGGGUAAUUUUUUAGAAAACAUAAUAGAUCCAAUGGCUAUGAUGAUUUGAAUCUAUCAAUUGAUGGUCGGAUGUUUUGCUUUUUUGUGAGAAUUUCUAGGAUUUCUCUCUUUUUCUAAAGUGUCCACCUAGGAAUCCUAUGUGGCUUUACCUGGAAGCUUUAAAAGGAGCCUCCAAUUAGUAAUAGUAAGAUUCGUAUCCGCUAAAAACAUUAAUAUGGAUAUCCAUAUUCGUAUUCACCGGUAGAAAACUCGGUAUUAGUCCCGAUUGGUAGGGUGCAAAUCUUCUAAAAAAAAUCCAGAAUUAAUAACUCAAGAUAAAAGGGGGGUCUUUUGUCCCGGAUCUCUCAACCGGGAUUUAGACCCCCUUCUAGUCCCGGUUAACCCUAAACUAAGGGCUGCCACGCCAGGCACGGGAAAGGCCCCUUUAGUCCUGUUGGUGUUACAAACCGGGACCAAAGGAGCACCCUUUAGUCCCGGUUGGUUUUUCUAAACAGGACUAAAGUCCUGCUUGAAAUUUUAGGCGCGCACCGUGCAGGCGCCUACAUGGCGCCUGUAAUUUCAUGCACCACGUACCACUUUAGUUAACCUUUAGUAGUUGAGAGUUUUUUUAUAAUGAAAUCAAACUAGUAUUUAAACGAAUCAAACUAGUAUUUACACAAUUAGUAUAUGUACAGUUCUUAGUAUAUAUACAAUUAAUUACUACAUGUACAAUUCUUAGUAUAUAUAUACAAUUCUUAUAGUAUCGACCGUCUGGCACUCGGCAAAGAAGCCGUUACCGUCACAGACCGUUAUCGCCUUUGUGCCGAGUGUUAUAUUUUGCCGAGUGUUUUCUGGCACUCGGCAAAGCCUUUGCCGAGUGCCCGACGGUCGACACUCGGCAAACACACUGUUUGUCAAGGGAAAGUUUGCCGAGUAGGGUUCGUCGAGUGUUACACUCGGCAAACCCUUUGCCGAGUGUAUUUGGACCUUCGCCGAGUGCCUGGGGCACUCGGUAAAGUUACUGUUUCUAGUAGUGAGCGAGCAGUCGGACUGUUUCAGUGGUAGGCGACCCCGUCAACAGCGAGACGCCAGUGGUGAUUUUAUCAAACUCGAGGAUUUGCUAGCACAGUCUUCGAAGGUGCUCAUAGGGGUAGGGUUGUGUGCGUGAGUUUGUAGGGAUGAAUGUGCGUACGUGUAUGUGAGUGUCUGCAUCUUUAUUGUGUGAUUUUUUAAAAAAAAAUUGCCGUUUGUUCAUGUGGAGCUAUUAGUCACGCUGGGUGCCUGCUGGUUGGCAUCCAAUUAUUGGCGGCACAGGUGUGUUAAAGCAACUGCAGUCAUAAUACUCCCGUACGUACCAGCUGUAGAGGCCUACAUGUGUUGCGCCGCAGGAAGGCACUUCCAUCGGUUCCAUGGAUCACAUUGUGCCAGUGCACCGAGCACACGGAUGCACCCGGCGGCGACGACCUUGAGUCCUUGACUUGAGCCCCCGUUCUGGUGGUCUUCUGCUCCUGCCUCACCCACCGCACACGUAGACAUCGAUGCAUUGAAUUCCGGUAAUGACUUGAAGCUGUCCGCGAGGACAUAGAUCCGCCACACUGCCAAACGCCCGUCGUCUCAUUGGUCCCUGUCCGCUCAUAGUGGUGAUGUGCUCCCUCUAGCUACCUCUGCUCCCCAGUCCCCAUUGGCCGCUCCAGAACCCACCGACACGUGAUUCAGGAAGCAAUACCACGGGGUGGCCCAACAUGUACGGCGAGCAGUCGGACUGUUAUUUAUUUCUCGUCUGUUUGCACUAGGGAUUGAUAUUGAUAUCUGGAAAUCCAAUUAUCC